GGCAGAUUACCAACUAUUCAGAAGUGGAAUCUUUUUUCCCCUUCUUAAGUCAAAUGGUUGUAAAGCUCAAGCCCAAACCUUUAAAAAAAAUGGUAAAAAAUAAAGAUAAAAUAAGCCUAGCCCAAAACUGAACGAACCGAGCCAGUCAAAUAUACGAGCCGGCUCAAGACAAAGCCGCCCUAGCCCACUCGGUCUGCGAUCUCUCCCUCACUCACGGCUUCGCUGCUGUGAUGGCGACGACGAGACUGACCGUCGGCGCUUAUCUCGCUCGUCUUUGUGCAGCCGAGGGCAUGCCCAGGCAGCUCAGGCUAGGCAAUCCACCCUAGUCUGACCAACAACACCACAGUAUACUCUCAGGCUAGGCAAUCCACCCGAGCUACGACCGUCAGGCACUUUCACAGACCACCAAAUUGGCAGCUACGGAUCGGCCACCUCAUGGCCAGGCAACUUAGAUGCCUUAGGCUUAGCGGUCGUCCACGGUUGGCCCUAGCAUCGCCGACCGAGAAAGCCUCCAGUAGCGGAGGGGACGGCAUGGGCAAGUCGAAUCGACCAAACAGCCAACACUUGGGAGCGCCAACACCACGGGGACACCUCCAUAAGGCGAGGCUGAGCGCAGACGGCUCUACUCCAGCCAAAAAUGAUAGAAUAAAAACAAAUCUCAGUCAAGCAUUUAUGCAAAUAAGUGGAGUGCACUACUGGGACGAGGGGUUACUGACCCAAACCGGGACUCAAAUCUACGCCAGUGGCCUUAACGCACGACGUUCGAGAAUACCAUAACAAAAUGCAAGGGCAACGUGGGCUAGAGCUUGUGCAAGCUGGACGGCCCCGAGCGCCAGUCCGGCGACACCCACAACAAAAUUAAACAGGGGACUCAAGGUAAAGAGACAAAAAGGGGCAUUCACGGCAGUGGCCCUAACUGACUUGGGGGCGCCGAAUGGAGGGCAAGCUCAAUAAAUCGGAUGAUGACAGGUCUCCUCGCACGCCCCAAAAGAAAACAAUUGAAAAAAAAGAAGAAAAGAGUCAAGACCUAUCAUGGCUUUGGCGUAGGAAAAGAAGCACAAUAGCGUGUUGUCGAUCGCGGCUUGGAUGUGACCUUUGCCCUGCUCCCGCCUUUGUUUUGCGUCGUAUUUUAUU
rnacentral:lncRNA from 1 species